rnacentral:rRNA from 1 species
GACGAACGCUGGCGGCGUGCUUAACACAUGCAAGUCGAACGGAAAGGCCCUGCUCUUGUGGCGUGCUCGAUAGGCGAACGGGUGAGUAACACGUGAGUAACCUGCCCUUGACUUUGGGGUAACUUCAGGAAACUGGGGCUAAUACCGGAUAUGAGCUCCUGCUGCGUGGUGGGGGAUGGAAAGUUUCGGCUGUUGUGGAUGGACUCGCGGCUUAUCAGCUUGUUGGUGGGGUAGUGGCUUACCAAGGCUUUGACGGGUAGCCGGCCUGAGAGGGUGACCGGCCACAAUGGGACUGCGGUACGGACCAGACUCGUACGGGAGGCAGCAGUGGGGAAUAUUGCACAAUGGGCGGAAGCCUGAUGCAGCAACGCCGCGUGCGGGAUGACGGCCUUCGGGUUGUAAACCGCUUUCGCCUGUGACGAAGAGUGAGUGACGGUAACGGGUAAAGAAGCACCGGCUAACUACGUG